GCUACAAUGUAGUUUAUAAAUUUGUUCCUUGAGACUGAAUUUAAAAUUAGGACAUUCCUUAACCUUAGUAUUUUGCUCGAUAGCUCUUCUUCAAAAACUUGUUUGGUGAAUUGUAUGCUACACAAUUAGAUUUUGUUAUGAUUUCUGUUUUUUUUGCUAUGAUUUUUUGUGACCUUAAUGGAUGUACUGUUGGAUAUAAAUAUUGCUAAGUAUGUUAUUUUGAGAAACCAAAUUUUUUUUUCUUGAGAUAAAAAUUAAGAAUAUUAUCAUAUAUCCCUAAACUUACUACUUUGCUCGAUCAAUUCUAGAACUCCUUCGAAAACUCCUUAGGUAAAUUGUAUACUAAACAAUUAGAUUUUGCUAUCAUCUGUAUUUUCUUUUUAUGAGUUUCAUUUUGUGUAAUAUAUUCCUUUUUUUCGGAAUUACUUGACGCUGAACUGGAUGUAUUUAGACAGUAGUUUAUUUGUAGGGAGUUCUGAUGUCCAUUUAGAAUAGAAUUGCCAGGAAGAUAAAAAUAAUUAUCCUGAUUUUCGUUACUUUUUUUGUUAGUUACUACUAAAAUUGAUCCCAUAUAGUCAACUGAAAUAGAAAUUGUAUUUUCUGUAGUGAGUUACACUGUGGCUGAUGUCCAUUUAGAUGUGCGCAUUUUUAUUAGUCACAGAUUUUUGGUAGCAUGAGCGGCGGGUUUCGGCGGCCGCGGUCGGCGCUGCCGUCGUGUGUAGUGCCCCUCUGACCGGCACCAUGAGAGCGGAUUCGCCGGUGGAUCUCAUGGACAGUGCGUGCAUCAUUAACCUUUUAUAGUCCUCCGUGGCGAAUCGCAUCAUACCGCCGGCUGGAGCGCCGGCCAUCUGGCCGUUCCCCUUUGCGGUGUGGUACGCCGUCUCGGCCGAAGCUGCAAUCUCCUCCGGCGCCCGCGUUGCUGAGCGGAGUUUCCUCAUGCAGAAGCAGCGCCGGCAACUCCUAUCCAUCUACCAAAGAAAGUGGCAUUAUCUUAUCCAUUCAGUAUGCAUCUUUUCGUAUUUACUGUGCGUUUGCACGAACAGGUGUGUAUCUCCCUUUGCCUUACCAUCUCCUCUGUGUAUUAAAUAAAUUUGAGCAGCGUAUGUUUGCAUCUUACGAUAAAGUGUACUUGGGAGACGAUGGUAGAGGAGCCAUCAAUGAAAUUGCUGGCAGAUGCAGCUACGAAAUUACUUGUUCUAGUAUUUUCUAUUAUUUGUGAAAUUGGAUAUGAUUGGUAGGCUAUGUAAGAAAAAAAGUUAUAGUAAUUGAGAAAAUGAUCUUGGUUCUUCAAUGGCUCUGUAACUUUAGAGCCACGUCCCUAAUGAUUACAUAUAUAACUGGUAUUGAUCUUGUCAAAUCAGUUGUUAGCCCUUGCUCGCAUAUUUUUGUUUACCUGUAAAUGCAGAGAGAAGUACCUUGCUGACAAAUAUAAUAUUUCAGAGAUAACCAUUUAAAACAAUUUAAAAAACCAAUUUAAAACAGAUAAGGCUGUUAUGUCUUUCCGGAAAAAAAGGCUACUAUGUCUGCAACACAUUAUAUUUGGUCAUUUAAGAGUGUUUGUAUUUGUUCUUAACUUCUACUUCUAGUUAUUAAAAAAAAUAUCUAUAAUAUAUCCUUGUAAACAAUGUUUUUUGCAACCUUGUGGGAUGGACGCUCUUCAUCUGAUAUAAGUAUCCGCAAUCCAUUUCUGUUGGUAACCCUUGACAUUGCAACAUAGAGUUGGCCAUGUGUGAACACUUGCCUUUCUAAGUAGAGUCCAACCUUUUUGAGAGAUUGCCCCUGACUUUUGUUUAUUGUCAUAGCAAAGCACACUGAUAUUGGGUAUUGUCUCCUUUUCAGAAUGAAAGGCCAUUUUGAAUCACUUGGUGACAUAAUAAUUCAUGGGAUGUAAACUUUGUCACCAAUGUUAGCACCUGUUAUGACCUGGCCUUCGAUGAAACGCUUUCCUAGCUGUGUUAUUGUUAGUCUUGUCCCGUUGCAAAGUCCUGCACUUUGAUUGAUGUUCCUCAUAAGCAUUACUGGUAAUACUAUUUUCAACCUCAGUUCAUGAUCUGGUAUUCCAAAAAAUGUUAGACUAUUUAGAAAUUCAGUUGGGUACAACAUAUCUUCGUCUUCCACCAUAGACAUUGCCUUGCAUGUUGUAUCUGAACUGAGAUAGGUUACCUCUUCUCGAGGAAUUUGACUCAUGAUGUAGGUGUUAAUCUGGUCAACAGUCUCGUUCCUUGGGCACAGGAUCGCUCUUUCCUCUAGGUCUUCUGGGAUGCUAACCCAGUCUUCAUCAUCUAUUGUUGUUGUUGUGCCAUCGCCGAUGUUUAGUAUCCAGUUUGCAAAUUCUGUUGUCUUUGCUUUCUCUUCAGGACUACCUUCGAAUGAAUUCAGACGCAUAUUUUCUGUGAGUCGGUACUCCUCAAAGUUCUUCCAUAGGAUCAGUCACCUCGCAAAAUAAAAGUAUUGUGCAGAAAAGUUGGUGCAUUUGAGGAGCAAAGGCCAAAUGGGAUGCUUCCUUGAUGCAGUCAUUCCACUCCUUGUCGUCAUUAAGUAGCCCAAGAGCAUAACAUGCAGAUUUGUAUGUUGGAUGUACAACCCCAUCAACUGUUCGGAUAUCUUCAUAGGAUCUGCAUCCUUCCACGGUAUUUAGAAGCAUUCUCAAGUAGUAUUUUUCACCGCUUGUUGGUUGUGCAUAGUAAAUCCUGCCUAUGGUUUUUUUUACCACCACGUCUUUUCCUCCAUUCUUUCUCUUUUGCAUGCCAAGUCCAUUUGGUUGGAAACUGUGCAUACGUCAAACUGUGAGCUUCCUCAUGCAAUUGGUUGGCUGUCAUCCAUUCUGUGAACAUUGUCUUUUCUAUGUUAGGCCGAGAUAUGAUUUUAUCUAAAUCCAUAGAGUCUGGGAAUACCACAACAUGUUCAUUUUCUAGGUGAAAUUGUAACCUUUCAACCGCAGGCUCUCUAUACUGAAGAGGAAACUGAAAUAUGCGCUAUGCGGCUUCACAUCCAGAUAUGUACCGAGCAUCAAUGUAUCUCUUGAUUUCGUCGUCCCUGUUUGUUAAUUUGCCACCUCUUGUUUCUCCUUGUUGCUCUUCUGUUUCUAUUAAUACAGUUGUUCGAUCUUCUUCUUUGUGGAUGUAUUUGAAUAAAUACUUUAUAGACCUUGAUCUAUUGCACCAUUCAA